rnacentral:rRNA from 1 species
AACGAACGCUGGCGGCAUGCCUAACACAUGCAAGUCGAACGAGACCUUCGGGUCUAGUGGCGCACGGGUGCGUAACGCGUGGUAACCUGCCCUUAGGUUCGGAAUAACUCCCCGAAAGGGGUGCUAAUACCGGAUAAUGUCUUCGGACCAAAGAUUUAUCGCCUUUGGAUGGGCCCGCGUUGGAUUAGCUAGUUGGUAGGGUAAAAGCCUACCAAGGCGACGAUCCAUAGCUGGUCUGAGAGGAUGAUCAGCCACACUGGGAAUGAGAAACGGCCCAGAAUACGACGGGAGGAAGCAGUGGGGAAUAUUGGAAAAUGGGAGAAAGCCUGAUACAGCAAUGCCGCGUGAGUGAUGAAGGCAUUAGGGUUGUAAAGCUCUUUUACACGGGAUGAUAAUGACAGUAACGGGAGAAUAAGCACCGGCUAACUCCGUG